AUAUAUGAAAAAUGGUACCUAAUGAAAAUACAUUUAAAACAAGAAAUAAGUCAAUGAAAGACAAUAAAAGACAAGAGUAACUUAGGUCAGGUUGAUAUUGUUGUAACUUAUUCUAUCUAUGUGUAAUAGUUUUUUUUAGAUUUGUGGAUACAUUUUUAAAAGAAGCAUACUAGUAGGUAUAUUAUGCGUACUUUUAAAUGAAUGAUGCUAAACUAAUUAAUAAACAUGACGCAAUUUUGAAGUUUUUCAACACAUUCUUUAUUCAUAUGUAGUAAACGAAUCCCCUUGAAACGUGUAUGAUUAUUUUUUCUGACAAAAUAAAAAUCGUUCUUUGAGAAACGACGAUAAUAUUAUCGAGAUUUACAUACACAUUUAAUAGGAAGCCUUGAGGGAUUUAUCGCCAUUUAACAAGAUGGGACGACAAUCUAAGUCUGUGCAUUAAAAUAUAAUAAACUAUGGUAAUAAUGAAUAUAAAAUACAAUACAUAAUUAAAUACGCAGAUCGAUUAUUUUAAUUCAUUUAAACUUACGAUAUCUAAUUGAGUGUUUUUAAACGAAGAUAUUUAAGAUGAAAAUACAAAAUUAACCAAUCUAAUAUUCUAAAUUAAAAUUAAAUAGCAUUUCAUUUAUGUUAGUGAUAAGACUUAAUCACGCAUUUUUCGCAUAUCGCAAUUCGCCAGUGAGUGUACUAAACAGUACUCUGACUGCUCGCGCUGUCGACUGUUUUGAGUCAUGCGUCGGUCAUAAUACGAAUACAUGCGUUGUACUCUUUUGGAAGUUCGAACACGCGAAAUCGUUUUUUCGAUAGUGGGCAAACGCUAUAUUUAAAUAUAUCAUUUUCACCCCGAGUAAAAGAACACAUUUCAAUACCGUGGUCGUUCGUAAAACACAUUUACGAUAUAUUUUGGAAAAAUCUAUACAAUUCGGUAUCCAGGACAUCCUUGUAAAACUAAGAGGACCUGAGGUGUGGUCAAUCACGGGAAUUAUGGGAUGUCUAUAAUAUUUUACAAAUAUUACUUUUUUAAUACCGGAGUCCGGAGAAUCAAGUUGUAAGAAGGGGAUGGGGUCUAGACUGAUUCACUUGGAAUCUUCAAUAACAUUUAAAAUAAUAGUAUCAAUUUUAUAAGUAUACAGUUAAAAUGAUUUAUAUGCCACAUUUAAAAAUGAACUCUAAAAAGUCGUAUUAUAGUAUUUAGUUUAAAAAUUGUCAACGUUUUAUAUACCUAACUUAUUGGUAUUUGGUACGAUGACAUACACGUCACAUGCCGAUUUAAAAUAAUAAAUUAAAGCUACCAAGUGGAUUCUGUAUGUAAAAAAGUACCAUUCGAAUAUACCAUAUACCUAUAAGUAUAAAUCUGACUUUUUUUCCAACUCAAAAUUGAAAUAAUAUACUCAGUGAGUAUAGUGAAAGGGGCCGACCAUGAAAAUAAGUAAUGUAUAUGCCACCAGCAAAGUGCCAAAAUGAGGUAGGUACUAUAACUUUUAAGUACACGCCUUCAAUGUUACCUCUCGCUUUAUUUUAUUAUUUGUAUUAUAUGUGGAAUAUAUAUAUACUGUUGACAUGUGUCUAAAUAGUAAAAGUUGAAUGUUUUGUAGGUUCUACAUAAAAAUAGAGUUAUAAUAGUAAGUAAUAAUAUACUAAAAAAAUAUAAUGAAAGGAAGGAUUUCAAUUGACUGAUAUUUUAUCAAUAUCAUUAUUGCUAUACAUCUUUGAUUGUAAGUGAUCAAUGAAUUAGUGUAGGCGAAUGUAAAGCGAUGAGUGAUUGAGUUAACCGAUCAAAAUUAUUAUAGGCAAAGUGUUUUUACACUACAGGAGGUCUUUAAAAUAAAGAGAAUGCAAACUAUUAAUCAAGUACUUUAUGUUGUAUGGUUUAGUAAAUCAUAUUUAAAACAACAAAAACCAAUAAUCUCUCAUGAGAUUAAAAAAAAAUCAAUAUAUCAUUCUUAUUUAGUAAUUUAAUUUUUAUAAUUAGGUACCUAAUGUAUGUUUAAUACAAUCUACCUAUACUUUAGACUUUAAAUUAUGUACAUAAAUAUAUAAGUAUAACAUUACUAGUAUAAAGUAAUACAUU